rnacentral:pre_miRNA from 1 species
UAACCUCCACAGGCUCUCUGGUCCCCAGGCUGGGCUGGGUGAGUAUCUCUUCGAAAGGCUCUCCCUCAAGCACGACUAGGAGC